GACAGAGGGUGCAAACGUUGCUCGGAAUUACUGGGCGUAAAGCGCGUGUAGGCGGUCACGCAAGUCAGGUGUGAAAGCCCAGGGCUCAACCCUGGAAGUGCACAUGAUACUACGUGGCUGGAGUACUGAAGAGGAGAGCGGAAUUCCCGGUGUAGAGGUGAAAUUCGUAGAUAUCGGGAGGAACACCAGUGGCGAAGGCGGCUCUCUGGACAGAUACUGACGCUGAGGCGCGAAAGCGUGGGAAGCAAACAGG
rnacentral:rRNA from 1 species